UUUUGAUGAGGUGAGGGAGGGAUGUGGUUGGUUUCAAGAUAUCAAGGGGUUUUCUGCAAAUUGGAGCAGAAAAUAGGCUAUUGUUGUAAAAAGGCCAUAACUUAUCUCUUAGUCGUCAGAUGCAGAUCUAAUAGUCAGAAAUGACGGAUGACUCAUCAGCAACUAAGUCUUUUAUAGAAGUAGAGACACGAAAGAAAGACCACUGGUACAGCUGCAUACACUGUGGCCCGGGAAGAAGGUACAACCAAUAUAAAACGAAGCCCACAUAAGACAGAACUAGUGAGGCCCAUGUUUAGCUUCCCUCGCUCAGAGUCACCGUUCCACCGCCGGAAUCCGGUCGGCCGCCGCCGUCCCCCCACACGCCCCCAUGCUCCACUCCGCACCAUCUCGCCAGAUAAGGGUCUAACUGGUGACCUUUACUCCUGCAUCAGUUUCUCUCACCUCCUCCGCCUGCAUCUAAUGUUUUAUGCAGCUAUAUAUGCGAAUAUCAUGAAGAUUGUUUACAAACCGAAGACAUGCUGAUAAAGCUUAACUGGCUGCAGUAAGAGCCCCCAUCAAAGAAGGUGUCACCUAGGUCAAUUUUCCAUGGAACUUGAUCUCACUGCCCUCUCUAUCAGUUGCAAUUUAUAGAGACUGGUGUGAUGUGGUAAGUGCAACAGCUUAUUGGAAGGAUGGUAUUCCAUUCGUUCAUUGUUUGCCUGGAUAAUACUUUGAUUUGUCAUGUGCUGUCUCUACAUCUAACUGGAACAUUCAGCUACCUUGCUAAAAAAGUUAUCGUUACAGAUAUACUACCAGUAAAUUUGCAUGUUCUAGCAGGAUGCUCUUCAUUUCCAAAUACAACUUGGAUAUCACAACACAUGCAACAGCUAUUCUCAUAUCUCUAGUGUUGUUAGAACCUGCCAUUCUUCCUUUGAAACAAAUAUUCAUAUGUUUUAGUAGGAAGCACUUUUUUUCGAACAUGAUAUUCUAGCACGGAAAAUCAAACUGAUACUUACGAUUCUCAUAUCUCGAGUGUUGUUAGAACCUAACAUUCCUUCGUUUGCCAUCUUCAGUUAAUAAUAGUGGUUGUUGAUCUAAUCUUCUUCAACUUGAUCUGGUAGUGACAUCUAGAUUUACUAACAAAGGCUAGAAUUUUCUCCACAUUUCGUGUACCUCAGUCAUUGCACACUGAGCCAUCUGACCUGAGAGCUGAGACGGGUCACUCCUUAUGAGUAACAUGAAUGACUGGAGUGCAAGUUAGUCAGUUAAAUAGUUGUACCACUUCUUUGAUCAUCAGCUUGCGUUGUACUGAUAAAAGAAUGCAAUAGAUAGGAAGGUUAGCAAGAACGAUUGAUGGGUUUCCUGCUGGCAUGCUGUUUUUUUUUUCCUUCAAUGGUUUCACUGCUGGCAUGCUGUUGAAUUGUGUUCAUUUCAAAGGCUACAAAUGCAUUUAUUUGGCUGAAAACUGAAGUUUCAGACGGAAGGCCGGAGUGUUGCAGAAGGCAAGAGGAGAAGGGACAGCAUAUUUGAGAUGAGAGACGAGAGGCGAUGUCUCUCCUGGGUGUAGAGUAGUAAUCAAUGAUGGGUUGGACAGUGGUAAGCAGUAAGCGCUUAUGUAGGGCAGUAGGGGUGUUCAUCAUGGUUUCAGUGGUUUGGCCAAACCAUUGAAGCAUGGAUGGUAGUAUUAAUUGAAUACUACUUUUGGACGCAUCAUGCAUGCUCAUGUAUGAUUUUUUCUUAGUCGGCUUCAAUAGUUUGGAAACCGCAUUUGAA